GAGGCUAAUUAGAAUACUUCCUGAUAUACAUUGCCACAUUAAGAAUCAAAUACUUCCCAAUCAGCUAGAACCUCGGCGGUGUAGCCAGCUACGCUCGUUAAAGCCCAGAACUAAAGGCGACGCGUGGCGUGCCGAGUUCGAAUCCUCGGCAUUUGAUGAAAUCAUGAACUACAAUUUUAUACCUCUCUCUAUCGAGUUUUUCUGAAAAGAAAAUAUGCAACAGGCAAGUGACAGCCCCGCUUUGCCAUAUUGUUGUAGGUGCACGUAUCUUCUGGGAGUGCACCUUAGUAAAGGGGUGCUUGAUGAUGUUAGGCACCCAGGGGCCCGAGGAAACUCGCGCACUGGCUACUGAUCCCCCGCCCGUGGAGGUUUUAGCCGGUAAGAAUCCGGCACUACCUUAUGCCCCACCACUUUGAAUGGGUAUUAAG
rnacentral:misc_RNA from 1 species